CACACUAUACUGUAAUGUUGUCUGUCACUUUCCCAUGACCCUGCCGGCUUAUAGCCUACAGGUCCCAGGAGAUGAAAAACAAGGAAAGAAAAGGAGAAAGGUCUUCAAAAAAUCCUAAAAUCUGAGGAGAUAGAAAUGAAGAGGAGGAAAAAGUCUGGUAGAGAACAGAGUGAGAUUUGUUGAAAAGCAGAAUCAAAGAAGAACAUGCAAGGAGUGAAGCAAGUAAUUUUGGGAAUGCACGCUUAAUUGGUACAAAGAAGAUGAAUUGAAGAUGGAGAAAGAGGAGGACAGAGGAGAGAAACAGACAGUUGAGCGGU